rnacentral:lncRNA from 1 species
CUCGAGUCAUAGAGCCGAAUUAGGCUCUUAAGUUAAUCGAUUCUACAUAUGGGUGUCAAUCGAUUCGAUCAACAAUAAUUGUAUGAUCUAAAACUCUAAUGACCUAAUCUUAAUCAAUAUUUGACUCGGUUUGAUCAAUCACUAAAUCGAUUUAGAUCCAUCGUGAUCAAAUCAAAAACUCUAGGUGUAAUCUAAUUACUUGGCCUA